rnacentral:lncRNA from 1 species
CUUUUCUGACAAGCUUGGGUGACUGUGGUCCCCAUGACCAAACGCACCUUGUUCCUUGUUCCCUGAUCCCAGAUGGCUGCUCAUCUGCCAGUCCCUCCCCUUCCUCAAAUUCUUAUGCUGCUCACAUGUAAUGGCUUCAGAAAGGCAAUAGCUCACUCAAGACUUCUCUUGCGGCCAGCCCUAAUUUAGAAGAGAAAGAAUUCUAGAAAUCAGCGCCCUAGUUUUUACAUCGACUUGAGAAUUAGCCCUCAUCAAGUUGUUCCAGGCCUCUACACUUCUGCAUGGAAAACUGUCCUCAAUCGCACGACCUGGGAAACUCCGACAGUACCUUCAAAACCCUGCAGAGACCUAUCCUUCUCAGAGAAAAUUUCCCCGAUGCUUCCCCUCCGGGACAGUUCUACACCUUCCAUCUUAGCAUGUGUAAACUUCAGGGACACACCUGCAAAGGUCAGGACACUGAAGAAACGGCUCUAAGUAGCUGAGUAACUUCCCCAGGACCACACGAUGAGAACAAGUAUCAAAGCUACUCCUAUCUAUGGCUCUGGAAAACGAAGGAAGACUUGGUCCCCGCCCAUGAGAAACUACUGAGGAGGGGAAAGAGGCAGUGCAGAUGUCCCUGGGCCGGGAGCGGAGUCCUGGGGCCAGAGAGGGAGAAGGAGCCUUGCCAUGGUUGGUUAUGGCUUGUCCCCAAAGGAAAAAGCGGGAAGUUCUUGGCCGGAAGUGUGGUGUGGAGGUGCUGAGCCUUUCCCAGGUGAGGCGUGUGGAAGGCAAAGAGCCCACCUUGCUCCACCCCUGCUGCCUCGUGGAGGGGUUGGGCAGGUGCAGGCGGUUGUCAGAGAGCGAGCCCCACGCGCCUGGCCCUCCUGUGCUGGCCUCCACUCUCCUUUGCUCAGCCAUUUUGGGAUGUAGCCAGGGGACUCUGGUGCCAUCACCUCUUGGACCCUCCAGCUGCCAGAAUUGCAGGCCCUCUUGUUCCUAGGCCUGUACCCACUGAACUCAUCUGAAAGCUGUAAGAUGACCUGGAGCCUUACUCUACAGCAACCUGCUCAGAGGCACGUCCAUCAUUGGGCCACACAAAUAAUUUGUUUUACUACCAUCGCCUAAGUGUUCUAAGCUUUGGAAGCUGUAUUCUUGGAGGCAAAACAAACAAACAAACAAAUAAAAAAAAUCAGCUAACUAUAAACUAAAGUCACCAGUGUAAGGAUGAAUCAGUUCCUCC